CCUACGGGAGGCAGCAGUGAGGAAUAUUGGUCAAUGGCCGGAAGGCUGAACCAGCCAUGCCGCGUGAAGGUCAGUGCCCUAUGGGCGUUAAACUUCUUUUGUGCGGGAGCAAUAAUGGUCACGUGUGGCCAGACGAGAGUACCGUACGAAUAAGCAUCGGCUAACUCCGUGCCAGCAGCCGCGGUAAUCCGGGGGAUGCAAGCGUUAUCCCGAUUUAUUGGGUUUAAAGGGUGCGUAGGCUGUGAGGUAAGUCAGCGGUGAAAUGCCCCCGCUCAACGGGGUGAAGGGCCAUUGAUACUGCCUUGCUGGAAUGCGGAUGCCGUGGGAGGAAUGUGUGGUGUAGCGGGGAAAUGCAUAGAUAGCACACAGAACACCGAUUGCGAAGGCAUCUCACGAAUCCGCGAUUGACGCUGAUGCACGAAAGCGUGGGUAUCAAACAGGAUUAGAUACCCUUGUAGUC
rnacentral:rRNA from 1 species